rnacentral:tRNA from 1 species
CAGGGUGUAGGGGAGCCUGGCCGUCCCUGCUACUUUUGGAAAGUAGAGAUCGUGAGUUCGAAUCUCACCACUCUGACCA